AGUGAACGCUGGCGGUAGGCCUAACACAUGCAAGUCGAACGGCAGCACAGUAAGAGCUUGCUCUUACGGGUGGCGAGUGGCGGACGGGCGAGGAAUACAUCGGAAUCUACUUUUUCGUGGGGGAUAACGUAGGGAAACUUACGCUAAUACCGCAUACGACCUACGGGUGAAAGCAGGGGAUCUUCGGACCCUGCGCGAUUGAAUGAGCCGAUGUCGGAUUAGCUAGUUGGCGGGGUAAAGGCCCACCAAGGCGACGAUCCGUAGCUGGUCUGAGAGGAUGAUCAGCCACACUGGAACUGAGACACGGUCCAGACUCCUACGGGAGGCAGCAGUGGGGAAUAUUGGACAAUGGGCGCAAGCCUGAUCCAGCCAUACCGCGUGGGUGAAGAAGGCCUUCGGGUUGUAAAGCCCUUUUGUUGGGAAAGAAAAGCAGCAGGUUAAUACCCCGCUGUUCUGACGGUACCCAAAGAAUAAGCACCGGCUAACUUCGUG
rnacentral:rRNA from 1 species